rnacentral:lncRNA from 1 species
GGUUCAAAGACGAGUUACAUUACGUUGGGAGGAAUUGAAGAGUGAUGCAACAUCUUUCAUGCCUCCAUAUCUUGGCUUCCCAUUCUUCAAGUUGGCUAGAAGAAAUUGGACUAUUUUGUUCCUAUCUUGGUUAAAUAGGUUUUUGCUAACCAUUGUUUAGAAGGUUUUUUUUUUUUUGGAACUGCUGUAGUUUGAUAAAUCUGCCAAUAGAGGGUAGAUUUAGAGUGUAGCUUUUGGUGGGAAAACUGAAAAUGUGUUGAAGUUAUGAAAUGAAAAAAGUUGGAGCCAAAAUUUUGAGUUGUUGCCUAUGCCUUAUUUUUUUGGUUAUUUACUCAUUUUAAUUGUAUUCUGAAUUGUCCGCCUACUGCCGCCCCACUUUAAAAUUUUUA